AACUAUUAUUUAUUUUGAUUACUGGAGGGUUCUGGAGGAGCACCCCCUGAAAUUCGAACCUAGAGGACUGACCUCACCCUAAUCCUGGCCGUGGCUAAUAAUAACGCCCAUCUCUUAGGGCUGUUGAGUGAAUUAAAUGAGAUAAUGCACGUAGAGCCCUCGGACCCGAGGCUGGCAUUGGGAAAGGCACAGUUUAUAUUUUUUGACCUGGUUGUUCACCAGGCAUUCCCUGCCAUCCCGCUUUCCAUCCUGCAGGGGGAGCAUGACUGACUGAGUGUCACUAUCGGAUCUAUGAUACCUUCUUGCUUUUCUGAAAUCAAAUAAAAGAGACAGAAACUCUCAUCUCAACUGUUGUGUUAGGAAGGAGGACGGGAAUGGUAAAUGCUGACGCUACAGGCGGCAGUCUGUGCCUCAGAGAGAAAAUUUAUCCCAACCUUGCUGGGGGCCUUGACGCCCAUCUUCCUCCAGAGCACCCAGACAGUCACCCCGCCCUCUGGGGUCCUCCCACACCGAGCCCGAUCUUCCCCCUUCACGCCUGCCCCGGGCCAAUAGCCUCCUAACUGCGUCCUCUCUGAUUGUGUCGUGCUCAUUAUGCCCUAUCCGUCGUUUCUUCGCUCCACAAACGUUUACUGAGCGCCUUCAACUUGCCAGGCACUAACUAGACUAGCGCAGGGAAACGGGGAUAAGUACUGAUGAGGGUCCCAGCCCUCAGCGAUCGGAUUUCAGAGGGGGAGAUAAAGGAUUGCCCAGAAGGGUAGUGAGUGGAAUAGCUGAUAUAAACAACGGGGUGCGAUGAAAUACACAGGAGGGCUGCUAGUUACAUAGGAGGCGGGUGCCGAGGGCUCUUAAUUAAGGGAGGCUUCCUGGACGGGUGACACCCAAGUGGAGUCCUGACGACCUGCGUCAGAAGUAGCCAGGCCAGGAGGAGGUGAAAGGAAUCCACGUCCCGAGCAGAGAGGCAGCUUUCCCUACACAGCACAGGACACGGUCCGUGCACCGAAGCCACAGGAGGCGCGGGCACAGGGGCUGGGGAGAAUCCUUGCUGGGCCCUCGCCGUCCACGCGCCGCCUCCCUCUGCCCGGUGUCUGGUGCCAGCCUCCUGCCUGGCAGAGGAACUCCCGCCCCUGCUCCCCGAAGCCCCUCCAGGCCUUCCGCUUCCCUGACUCGGAAUGGGCCCGUUGUCCAGUGGGUACGAGGCUGGUCUCCCUGCUCGCUGGUGACGACCUAAAGAUCCAGCGCAGCCUGGAUUCCUCUUGUGAUGAUAUCUUGCGACCUCGUCUUUCUCCAGGAAAACAGGGACCGCUCUCCGCCUACAGGUCUCUUCCACAGACCUAUCUUGCUUUCACCCCCUGUCUCUUUUGGUUCAGUCUUUUCGCUCAUACAAACAAGGAAGUCGCCGCUAGCCCAGCCGUGGCUCCUUAGCUGGAGGCGGGCCCGGGAGUGGAGUCAACCGCGGUGGCCACGCCUCCUGGGAAAGGGCAGGGCAUGCAAAUUCGAAAUGAAAGCCCGGAAACCCCGGAAUUAGAACUGGCGAAAAACCAAGGCACAGGUAGUUUAAGCUACCGAGGAACGCACAGGAGCAGAACUCGAGUCCAAGCAUCGUGGCUCCACCCUUCAUGCUUGAUGCAUCUUUAGGCUCCAUUCUAGGCAACGCAGUUGCUCAGGGGCUUCGGUAUCACAGCCAAGACCCCUUCGGGAGAAGCUAGUCGGAUACUGGGACCCACAUUCCAGACUACUGAGCCAUGGCCGCCCCCUUCGCUCCGUUUCUGCUCCCUCCACCCCACGAGCCAGACCGCGGAAGCUCCACUCUUCACAGUAAUGGCUUUCCUCAAAAGAGCUCGGACCACUCUCCUCCAACUUCCUUCCGCAGACACCUCGUGACGCCCACGCCCAUUUCGCUUGGUCACUGUCUUGACCCCGGGUGGGUCCAUCAGCUCGUUGCAACCUAAUUUUUGUAUUUUUAGUAAAGACAGUGUUUCACCAUGUUGGCCAGGCUGGCCUGGAACUCCUGUCCUCAGGUGAUCUGCCCUCCUUGGCCUCCCAAAGUGGACAAAGACAGCAUCUCUUUUUGAAAGGAGAUACAGGCCAGGUGCGGUGGCUCACGCCUGCAAUCCCAGCACUUUGGGAGGCUGAAGCAGGUGGAUCACCUGAGGUCAGGAGUUCGAGACCAGCCUGACCAAAAUGGAGAAACUCUGUCUCUACUAAAAAUACAAAAUUAGCCAGGCGUGGUGGCACAUACCUGUAAUCCUAGCUACUCAGGAGGCUGAGGCAGGAGAAUCGCUUGAACUCAGGAGGCGGAGGUUGCGGUGAGCCUAGAUCGCGCCAUUGCACUCCAGCCUGGGCAACAAGAGUGAAACUCUGUCUCAAAAAAAAAAAAAAAAAAAAAAAAAAAAAUUAAAAGAAGAAAGAAAGAAAGAAAGGAGAUACAGUAUGCCCCAUGAGAUGCUGAAAGGGACUCACCUCUUUUGAGACUAACCUAAGCAUUUAAAGCCGUGGCUCCCUUUGAAAUGGAAUGAUUAGGAGAAAAUGCAUUCUUGAAGAAAUAUACAGCAGUGCCCACCAAAUAAAUGCUGUAUGGACUGGGAGAAGGCCAUGUCCAUCUUGAUGUGGGGACUUUUAAUGCCUUGAUUGUACUUGCCUGUAUUAUUCUAUGUUGUCAACGUGUCCUCUUAAUACCAGGUCCUCCAUGAUAAGUUGCUCCCGAUCCAGAAGUAUUGCCCUAGCUGCAAAGAGCCCUGAUUCUCAAAUGUGGUCAUGAUCAUGGUUACUGGUUGGCCCAUAAAAAGAAAGUAAAAAAAAAAAAA